GUUUGGAGGCGGCGCGAGGUCCGGGAGGCGGCUCUAGGGUGGAGAUCCGAGAACAGCAUAUCUCCAGCCGCCGCCGCUCUCUAUCCCGCCCUUGGUUGCCGCCGGUCUCCAUCCCACUUCAGCCGCCGCCAGUCUCCAUCCCGUCCUCAGCCGCCGGCGGUCUCCAUCCCGCUUCAGCCGCCGACGGUCUCCAUCCCGCUUCAGCCGCCGCCGCUCUCCUUCCCGCUCUCCAUCCCGCCCAGUCGCCGGCGCUCGCCAUCUCUCCUUCCUCGCUUCGGAUUCACCAGUUGCGGGAGAGGGCGAGGUCGAGGGCAACAGCCCGGACACCAAGAAGCAGGAGAGGCACAGGCGUGUGGGGUUGGCAAAAGUAAAGCUGAAGGAGUUGAUAUUACCCAAGUUACAGGGUUCCAUGGCCCAUUUGCUAGCUGUGCCCAUUGGAAGGAUUGUUUUGCAAGAUAGUUCUUAGAGACUCCUUGAAUUGUGAAAUGCGAUGGAUGAAGGACAAUUUUUCCUUAAUUGCUUCUUAAUUCAUGUAGCUAUUAUGGUUGCAG
rnacentral:lncRNA from 1 species